rnacentral:lncRNA from 1 species
GUUUUAUUUGUUUCAUUUAUGUUCUGAGAGGAAAGAGCGAUUUACCGCGUUUGAAAAGAUCUUGCAAAUUGAAUAAAGCUAAAACUACCGCAAAAUGUUGUGGUUUAGAGUAUAUUCCGAAAAUACCAAGUUCUGUAGUUAAAUUGAUAUUGGAAAAUAACCGUCUAUUUCAUAUCAGCAUGGACACAUUUCAAAAUGUUUCGAACAAUAACUUAACCAGUUUAUCAUUGAUUGAUAAUUCAGUAAAAGUAUUGACUUCAGACGCUUUUCAUAAUAUGAAAUAUCUGAAAUAUUUAGAAAUAUCACAUGAGAAGAAAUUAAAUAUAUCUUACUUGAAAAUGUCGU